AGGACGAACGCUGGCGGCGUGCUUAACACAUGCAAGUCAAGGGGGCUCAGCAAUGGGCAACCGGCGAACGGGUGCGUAACACGUGAGCAACCUGCCGAUUUGAGGGGGAUAGCCGGCCCAACGGCCGGGUAAUACCGCAUACGUUCUAUUGGCCACCUGGCCGACAGAAGAAACCUCCGGGGCAGAUCGAGGGGCUCGCGGCCUAUCAGCUAGUUGGUGUGGGUAACGGCCCACCAAGGCGACGACGGUAGCUGGUCUGAGAGGAUGGCCAGCCACAUUGGGACUGAGAGACGGCCCAGACUCCUACGGGAGGCAGCAGUGGGGAAUCUUGCGCAAUGGCCGAAAGGCUGACGCAGCGACGCCGCGUGUGGGAUGAAGCAUUUCGGUGUGUAAACCACUGUUGCCCGGGACGAACACACUCUUCGAGAGUGCUGACGGUACCGGGUGAGGAAGCGACCGGCUAACUCCGUGCCAGCAGCCGCGGU
rnacentral:rRNA from 1 species